rnacentral:rRNA from 1 species
AUUGAACGCUGGCGGCAGGCCUAACACAUGCAAGUCGAACGGUAGCACAGAGAGCUUGCUCUCGGGUGACGAGUGGCGGACGGGUGAGUAACGUCUGGGAAACUGCCCGAUGGAGGGGGAUAACUACUGGAAACGGUAGCUAAUACCGCAUAACGUCGCAAGACCAAAGUGGGGGACCUUCGGGCCUCACACCAUCGGAUGGGACCAGAUGGGAUUAGCUAGUAGGUGGGGUAAUGGCUCACCUAGGCGACGAUCCCUAGCUGGUCUGAGAGGAUGACCAGCCACACUGGAACGGAGACACGGUCCAGACUCCUACGGGAGGCAGCAGUGGGGAAUAUUGCACAAUGGGCGCAAGCCUGAUGCAGCCAUGCCGCGUGUAUGAAGAAGGCCUUCGGGUUGUAAAGUACUUUCAGCGGGGAGGAAGGCGGUGAAGUUAAUAGCUUCACCGAUUGACGUUACCCGCAGAAGAAGCACCGGCUAACUCCGUGCCAGCCGCCGCCGUAA